UAAGAAUAAACAGGUGACACAGGGUUAAAAAGUCAAUGCACAUGUCCUCUGGCAUUUUUAAUUUGUUUUGCAUAUUUUGGGAGAACCGUCUGCGCCUCAUGAGAUGUUAGGAUGUGAUGCGAGUGAUACAGGAUUAUUCGCUACAUUUACUGGAAGUGGCAGGUGUUGUUUUCCUCCCACCAUCAUAGGACCUCAUCUGGAAUAACUUGUUGUAUGUCAGGUAGGAUCUUCACCAGUGAUGUUAAUAGGCUUUCAAUGUUGCGAGUUCCUGGGACUUACAGUUGGUCAUUUGAGUGGGUGCCCAAUAAAAUGUUUUUUGACAAA